AUUAUCUCUCCUAAUUAGAGCAUAAGCUCUAUGAAGUCAGGGAUCCUUGUUUUGUUCACUGAGGUAUCCCCAGCUUCCAGAACUGUGUUUGACACAUGGAAAGGAUUGUUCUUAAUUUGGAGAUACGCAAUUACUUAUAAAAUUUACUAAACACCUAUGUGUGCCAGGCACUCUACGAGACAGUUGAAUUUCAGAGGGAUUAAGAAGUUAAGCACAGGUAAUGCAGCUAAUUUCACCAAGAAAUUACAGCUCUGUCCUGUUCAACAUGAUAGCCACCUGUCCUAUGUGGCUAUUGAGCACCUGAAAUGUAACUGGUCUGAACUGAAAUGGGUUGUAAAUGUAAAAUGCACACCAAUCUUACACUAUGACACAAAAAUUUUAAUAUCUUACUUUUUUUUUUUUUUCUGAGUGAUUACAUGUUGAAAUUGUGAUAUCUUAGAUCUCCUGGGUUAAACAAAAGAUAUUUUUUACAGAGCCCGGACACCAGCCAUUAACAUUACUGAGCAUGUGCUACUCCCUGCCAGCUAAGCAACCUUCUGAGAGGCAUCUGGGGACUCACAUAAGGCAUGCUUACAAAGAAUACAAAUUGACUUAAUAAUUAUAUUUCCUUUUGUCAAUCAGUAAGCUGAGAGGUGAGGGGCUGGCUUUAUGCCUCUGACUCUGUGGGCUAAGUCCCUCCACUUUCCGUGAGUUGUCAGAGUUGGUUUCUGAGCCUUUGAGCUUGAUGAUUACAUACACCUCAAAUGAUGGAGAAUUCACGGAGGUGGUAAUAAACAAACAAAUAAAUAAGAUUGUAGCAGCUAACGUCUGUGAGAUGCUUACUAUGCAUAGCACCAUUCUAAGACCUUCACCUACGAGGUAGGCAUUGUUAUCAUUAUCCUCAAGGAUCUUGCCCAUGGCAACACAGCUAGUGCCUUGCGGAGUCAAGAGUCAGACAUAAAACAGUGCCACAGAGUAGGGGUAACCUCGAGCUAGCUGCCCAGCAGGCCCAGAUAGUAACCAGUAUGGCAGAGUUCCUUUGUCUUCAUACUCCACGUUCCCCCUGGUCCCACCUGUGGGUGAUGAGGCCCUCACCUGUUACCUUUGCAUUCAUUCAUGAAUCUGACUCUUCGUCACCCUUCCGACAUCAUGUCCUCUCAGUUUCCCACUUACCCACUACGUAUGUCCCAGCCACGUCAGUCCUUGGUUUCCUGUCGACACCAGGCUUGUGAUUACCUCAGGCCUUAACAGAUCCAUUCCCUGGGCCUGGAAUGUUCUAGAAUUCCACUCUAAACAAAGCUAAAUCCUUUGUCUUCUUUAUGCCUCCAAUUAAGUCAAGUCCUUAGAGGGGGUUUUGCUAACUAGCUUGUUACACACCUCACCCUUCCUCAGCUUGUUUGUUUCCUACAUAACACUUAUUACAGUAGUGAUUAUAUUUGCUUAUUUCAUCAUUGCCUGUGUCUCAAGGAAUCUAGACUGAUGUGUCACUAUUGAACCCUCGUUGUCCAGUAUAGUGUCCUACACACAGUAGAUGCUUAACAAAUAUGUGCUGAGUAAACACACCCUUCUUUGGAUUAGCCUGAUAUUCUCAUUUGGUGUGACUCAGGAGAAGCAUUUCUUUCAAAAAAUGAUUUUGAGUUUCAAGUGUGUGCUUAGUUUGUAAAACCCAGGUGUGAAGGGGAACCAGGAAGAAGUAGAUGGAGUAAAAUGGGUGAAGUAGGAGAAAUAGAAAAGAAAAGAAAAAAAAAAAAAGAAAGGAAUACAAUAAGGACCUAUUAAGGAGAACAAAUAUCAAGAAAGGGUUUUGCUAAAGUUCACGGCAUUGGGGUUGAUUGCCAGUUUGGUUGGUGGCUGAGUUCUCAGACUAGACUACGGGAGCGAAAGAUGGGAUGGAGUUCUCCCUCUACAUGGUGAGGACCCGCCCGUGGGCUAGCCCUGCCCUGGGCCCUGUGGCAGGGGCUGAAUGUGCACUGCUCCACAUGGCAGUGAGCCCCUGUGCCUGGCAAUGCAGCUCCAGGAAUCCAUAUUGAAUGCCUACUUUAUGCCAUCCGUUGUUCUCCCUUGCUAUGCAGAGGGAACAAAACCUAAUAUUUGCCCUUCGGAUGCUCACGGCUCCAUCACACCAACUAGCAUCUACUGAACAGCUCAGGAGGUAUUUAGUAAACAUUUUUUUUUUUUUUUAAGCAACGGAUUAAUGAAUGUGUAGAAUUAAGCCUUUGUCUUAAGAGUCCUAAACACAGUUGGGGAUGCCAGACGAAGUAUAUUUAGAGACUGAGCCCAAAGGGUAAGUUAUAUAAGCUUAUAUAGCUAUGUUUACCUAGCGUUUGCAAACUGGAGAAGCUAUAAUCACUCUGUACAUAGCUAUUGUAGGGGAGGAAGCAACUGAUUUUGCUCUACCUGUCUUAGGUUCAUUGGCUGGGGUCCUCAAAUUAGACCGGCAAAUGACAGAUUAACAAGAGAAAAACAAAUAAAAGCUUAUUAACGUGUGCUUCAUGCAUCUACACAGGAGUGCUCUGUGAUGAGUAGAUCAAAAGGGUGGUUGGAACCUGGGCUUAUAUAACAUCUUAGCAAAGUAUAGUAAUUUUGUAGAGAAGUGACGUGACAAAGAAAAAGGACUUUGAGCUUCUAGGGAAAGCAAAUUGUGGGAAGGCAAAUAUAUGGGGAAACUAAUGGUGAACUAAUGGAAAUUUCCUCAGUGCCAUCUUAACUCCAGUGGGACAGGAAGUGGGGAAAGGGGACACCUUAACAAGGGGGAUUUAUGUUCUGUUUUCAGGCAGAGAGGUAGAGGGCAGAGAACUUUUCUUAUAUUUGCUUCUUCUCAGUUGCUUUCAACUCAAUCCUUGUGCCAAAGUGACAUCUUUUGGGACAUUGUGUUAUACUACUCUUUACUAUGAACUAGCAAAACGAUGAGAUCCUAUCUAUGAGAUAGCAGGAGAAUUCAUUCUGUGCCAGGUACUGUGGUAAUUUUGUAAUCAUUAUCUGGUUAACCCUUCUCACAACCUCCCAGGGCAGGUUCUAUCAGGAGUCUAAUACUCACUUUAUAGCUGAGGAAAGUGCACCAUCUAAAGGGACCCGUCCCUAUCACAGAGCUGGCAAAGCAGCCAACCAACAGAAUAUGGACCGAGACAGGUCUGAAUACAAGUCUCACUGGACCGGGAACCCCGGUGCUCCAACCACUAUUUGCCCCACUGAUGUGACAACAACAGGAAGGAGCUUCUUGGUAACAGUUGGUGGACCUACUCCCAUUCCACUUUAGAGUGCCGAUGGGGUUUUGGAGUGAUGGGGGUCCGGACCUGAUGGCCAAGAAAGAAUUCUUGAGACGUUUUUGGUGCAAAAAAGAUGAAAACCAGCGUGUCCACUGGUGAGGCUAACGUUCCUGUGAGCUGGGGCCCGGAAAAGGCAGCAGACAAAGGGAACAGUCAGCCAAGUAGAGUUUGCUGGAGAUUUACGUGGAAACCUCCUCACAGAGGCAGUGCUGCUGGAUUUAUAACAAGGAUGAUAUCAUCCAAACUCUCCGGCAUCCCCAUAGAGGACUUUGAAGAUUACGACUGUCUUCUGUUACUCAGUCUUCCUCUGCCCAUGCUUUCCAUAUUCUUGGUGCAGACGGGGUCAUCGACUUUCCCAUCUCAUCCCUUGAAUCUGAAUCACCUAUGGGACUUGCUUCGGCCAAUGAGAAAUUAAUAAAUAUGAUGCAAAGAAGAGGCUUGAAAAAUGCCUGCAUAUAAGCUUCCUACAGUUGCCCACAGAUGCACGAGUGAGCCCAGCAAAGCUCAUGAGAAGAACUGCCCAGCUGAGCCCAGCCCGAGUGGCUGCCUCAUAAAAUCAUGAGCUAAAUAAAUGGCUAGUAUUUUAAUCAGCUAAA